AAAGGUACUUUCAAUUUCAAAAGCAACAAGGCCGAGUCGGCGUCUGAUUUGCAGUCUUCUUUUUCUUUCAGUUCACGCUAUUCCUGAAAAGCUUGCCCAACGUUUACUCGUGUCUGGCCUCUCUGCCGGUCAGUCUCCCUUUUCUCUUCUUCUGUUCCUCCGACAUUGGGUUUCUCUGUCUCUUUUUAGUCGGCUGAUCUAUGAUGAAUAUAACAAUCCCUCAGUGACUUGUGUUUAUAUCGAGCCGGUUCCGUGUUUGAGGGUCUGUGCCGUAAAGCAAUUCGUUACUUCGUGAGACCCGAGACUCCCACGAGAGUGGGCGGCGGGUCGCCGGCAGAAACAUAUUAGGGACUUUAAGCAACGACGGUUGAGGGACGGCUACGGCAUCGAGUGACACUUUGCGCACACUUUGCGCAUGUUUACAUUUCCUGCCGUUGUAGCCCAAUUGUCUACUACGGGAGAGCGACUGGUUUGCCGUAUUCAAUACUACGUUACAUUUCAAGCAGAUAUGUCCUCCGUUGCCCAAGAAGAUGCUAGAACACACUACAAUGACUCAGCCGAUGUUUUCAUCCUGCUGCCGGACCCUGGUGGGGUGUACAUUUUGCGUGGAGGAAUGGAAAAGGACGUCAGAUCACUGCCUCAAGUGCAGGGAUGACCUGCCCAUUUAUACAGAGGUAGCUGGACUCUCUGCAGCACUGGACGCCUUGAAGUCCCUUCCCUAAAGAACACUAGGCUAGCUUGUUCGUUUAGAUGUUUUUUUUGAUGUUCUUAUGAUGUUCUAAUGUUUCGUGUUGUGUUAAUGUGUUAGACGGCUUAGAUGUUCUUAGAUGUUUUGUUAACCUGAUUCUUCUCCCACUCUGUUCAAAUAAAAGUUUUCUUUAAUGU
ensembl:lncRNA